AAACGGCAUAGUGUGCUCUUGGGC
rnacentral:siRNA from 1 species